rnacentral:rRNA from 1 species
UACGUAGGGCGCAAGCGUUGUUCGGAAUUACUGGGCGUAAAGGGCGCGUAGGCGGCCUUCUAAGUCGAACGUGAAAUCCCCGGGCUCAACCCGGGAACUGCGUCCGAUACUGGAAGGCUUGAAUCCGGGAGAGGGAUGCGGAAUUCCAGGUGUAGCGGUGAAAUGCGUAGAUAUCUGGAGGAACACCGGUGGCGAAGGCGGCAUCCUGGACCGGCAUUGACGCUGAGACGCGAAAGCGUGGGGAGCAAACAGG